AUCUCGUUAGAUCACCGAAGUCAAGCAUCAUUGGGCGCGGUCAGUACUUGGGUGGAUGACCACCUGGGAACACCGCGUGCCGUU